rnacentral:ncRNA from 1 species
UAAUUGAAGAGUUUGAUCAUGGCUCAGAUUGAACGCUGGCGGCAGGCCUAACACAUGCAAGUCGAGCGGCAGCGACAACAUUGAACCUUCGGGG